rnacentral:rRNA from 1 species
AUUGAACGCUGGCGGAAUGCUUUACACAUGCAAGUCGAGCGGCAGCACGGACUUCGGUCUGGUGGCGAGUGGCGAACGGGUGAGUAAUAUAUCGGAACGUGCCCAGUCGUGGGGGAUAACGUAGUGAAAAUUACGCUAAUACCGCAUACGAUCUAUGGAUGAAAGCGGGGGAUCGCAAGACCUCGCGCGAUUGGAGCGGCCGAUAUCUGAUUAGGUAGUUGGUGAGGUAAAGGCUCACCAAGCCAACGAUCUGUAGCUGGUCUGAGAGGACGACCAGCCACACUGGAACUGAGACACGGUCCAGACUCCUACGGGAGGCAGCAGUGGGGAAUUUUGGACAAUGGACGCAAGUCUGAUCCAGCCAUUCCGCGUGCAGGACGAAGGCCUUCGGGUUGUAAACUGCUUUUGUACAGAACGAAAAGGUUUCUAUUAAUACUAGGGGCUCAUGACGGUACUGUAAGAAUAAGCACCGGCUAACUACGUGCCAGCCGCCGCCGUAA